CGGAUGGAUAGAAGAACCCCUGAUGCCGUCGAGCCAAGAAAAGUUUCUAAGUUUAGCUAAUGUUGCCCGUACCGUAAACCGACACAGGUGGGUGGGAUGAGUAUUCUAAGGCGCGUGGAAGAACUCUCUUUAAGGAACUCUGCAAAAUAGCACCGUAUCUUCGGUAUAAGGUGUGGUUAGCUUUGUAUUAGGAUUUACUCCGAAAGCAAGGAAACUUACAACAAAGAGUCCCUCCCGACUGUUUACCAAAAACACAGCACUCUGCUAACUCGUAAGAGGAUGUAUAGGGUGUGACGCCUGCCCGGUGCUCGAAGGUUAAUUGAUGGGGUUAGCAUUAGCGAAGCUCUUGAUCGAAGCCCGAGUAAACGGCGGCCGUAACUAUAACGGUCCUAAGGUAGCGAAAUUCCUUGUCGGUUAAAUACCGACCUGCAUGAAUGGCGUAACGAGAUGGGAGCUGUCUCAAAGAGGGAUCCAGUGAAAUUGUAGUGGAGGUGAAAAUUCCUCCUACCCGCGGCAAGACGGAAAGACCCCGUGGACCUUUACUACAGCUUGACACUGCUACUUGGAUAAGAAUGUGCAGGAUAGGUGGGAGGCUUUGAGUAUAUGACGCCAGUUGUAUAUGAGCCAUUGUUGAGAUACCACUCUUUCUUAUUUGGGUAGCUAACCAGCUUGAGUUAUCCUCAAGUGGGACAAUGUCUGGUGGGUAGUUUGACUGGGGCGGUCGCCUCCCAAAUAAUAACGGAGGCUUACAAAGGUUGGCUCAGAACGGUUGGAAAUCGUUCGUAGAGUAUAAAGGUAUAAGCCAGCUUAACUGCAAGACAUACAAGUCAAGCAGAGACGAAAGUCGGUCUUAGUGAUCCGGUGGUUCUGUGUGGAAGGGCCAUCGCUCAAAGGAUAAAAGGUACCCCGGGGAUAACAGGCUGAUCUCCCCCAAGAGCUCACAUCGACGGGGAGGUUUGGCACCUCGAUGUCGGCUCAUCGCAUCCUGGGGCUGGAGCAGGUCCCAAGGGUAUGGCUGUUCGCCAUUUAAAGCGGUACGCGAGCUGGGUUCAGAACGUCGUGAGACAGUUCGGUCCCUAUCUGCCGUGGGCGUAAGAAGAUUGAAGAGAUUUGACCCUAGUACGAGAGGACCGGGUUGAACAAACCACUGGUGUAGCUGUUGUUCUGCCAAGAGCAUCGCAGCGUAGCUAAGUUUGGAAAGGAUAAACGCUGAAAGCAUCUAAGCGUGAAGCCAACUCUAAGAUGAAUCUUCUCUAAGCUCUCUAGAAGACUACUAGUUUGAUAGGCUGGGUGUGUAAUGGAUGAAAGUCCUUUAGCUGACCAGUACUAAUAGAGCGUUUGGCUUAUCUUUAAUAAAGCAU
rnacentral:rRNA from 1 species